rnacentral:pre_miRNA from 8 species
GAGUGGUGGCCUGGUGGUCGUAUGUAUGACGUCAUUUACUUCAAAGUUUGGAGUGACAUCAUAUGUACGGCUGCUAAACUGCUACAUGGCU